GCGUUCGUAGCUCAGCUGGAUAGAGCAACGGACUUCGAAUCCGUAGGCCGCAGGUUCGAGUCCUGCCGGACGCA
rnacentral:tRNA from 1 species